GUGAAAAUAUCGAACGAAAACUCUGCGUGAGAAGUGAGCAGUUCUAUGUGGGAUAUUCGGAAGGUCAUGCGUUGUUUUUGGGGUCAAAUGCUAGUGGUGCUUUUUAGCCAAAUUGUGCAUUUGCUAAAAUAUACAUAUUAGGAAAGCUACAUCCAUUUGAAUUUGCUCAUAAUCGCUCAAGAAAAGAGACGUCGUGGUUGGAAGAAAAACAGAUUCUAUCUACAGAGCGAUUUGAAUGAAUGAAUGUGGUGCCAAUCCUGUUCAAAAGAAAACACUUAGCUCCAGCUUCUAGAGUGUUCGAGUCAUUAGCUCAAAGCCUCCAACCCGCCGAAACCGUCAGACAUAUUGGGGGAAGAGACCGCUCCUACCCAGAAGUGCCCAGAAGCCAAACGUUUACGCAUUGGUCCCACCUGUCACCCGGGGGGCGGCUUUAACAAACCAGCUCACCUGAAUUGCUGUCAGUCUGGGUGGAUCUGUUCCCGCACCUCGAUACACACCACCACACCGUGACCAUCUUCUCUUCAUCACCGACGAACAUCAUCAUCAUCAUCAUCUUCAUCAGCUCCAGCAUUCGCAUUCGGAUACCGUAACCCCCAGCACGUUCGGGAACUAACGCAACCGUCAGAGCGCAUCCACGCGAAGUGCUGCCCGCGAAUCGAAAGCACUUCCCCAAGCGGGGCAGUAUCAGUUCUCCCGGAGAGUGGCGUUACGUUCCGCCGGCGUACAUCUUCACGAGAGCCCUAGCGCGAGAGCCCACCACACAUAUAUCCAGCGCACCGUCAUCGGACGUCACGCCGCUGGGAAGGGUUAGGCCCGGCGCGAUAGUUAAUGCGUCGCCGCAAACACGAACAGCGCACCAGUGUUGGCUCGGGUUUCGGCCGAAACGCGUCGCGAGUAGCAGCACCAACAAUCCGACGAACCGGCUGUGUUGUGGGCCCCGUUGGACGGUUUAACUCGGUGGUGUUAUGUAAAUCAGUGGAAUCCCGCCAACUCCACCAUCACGCGAACGUGGCUCCGUUGCGGCGCACAACUCUACCAUAUUCUUAUCAUCCUCAACAUCAUCACCAGCAUCCCGCAUGGUUAGUGCGCCCGCUCUGUGUGUGUUUUGUGGUUGUUUUUCGAACGUGCAGCACCGAUUCUCGUAUUCUCGCGUUCGAAUAGUCUGUGCGCAUCGUAAUAUAAUUCUCAAGCACGAACGGGUUUUGCACGGAACAUCCGCACCAAGAACUAACUGCGCACCGUACGAGUCAUUCGCGCACUGAAGUUCUGCCAGCAAAGGGACGAGUGACUUUACCGCACGGUGAAGGCAAGUGUUUUCGUGUGGCCCUCUCGCGAUCGCGAUGGUUGAGCGAAAAAUGCUGACCGGUGCGAAAGCAAAUCAUCCAAUAAC